CAGAGAGUGACAGGCAGGUGGCUUCCCAGGUGGCACAUGGCUUAUGGCUCCUUUUUCCUUGACUACUGCAGACCAGUCUUUUGAGGAUUCUGACAAGUUCCACUCUCCAGCCCGGGGGCUUCAGGGCCUGGCGUACUCCUAAUUACGGUCUGCAGCUGUUCCCAUGGAGCCCGGACUGGAGGUCCCUCUGGGAUUCACAGCCACACCCUGGAUGGUGGCACAGACAGAUGCAGGGCCAGGGCCAUGGGCAGACCUCAACCCGUGAGCUGAACGGGGAGAGGCCUUCACCCCAUGCUCAAGCCUCCCCGCUAGCAGCCCCACAGGCUUCUCUCGCCUCCCUGUCUUGGGGUAGUCAGAAGCCCCAGCACUGUGCAGAUGCUCUUGGCAGGACAGCAUCCCAGGGAGGUGCUGGGAUUCUGGGCCUCACUGUCUGGGUCUUGGUUCCUCUGAAAGAGAUGGAUUUUGUGCAGACCAGGGUUGUUGAGUGAGGGGAGCGUGGGAUGGGGACCGUGGGAAAGAGGACAGCUCAGGGAGAAGUGACCUGGAAAGGUCCUGUUUGCAUCUGACCCAUCUCAACUUGCCCAGCAUCCCAACUUCUCUGCAGCGAAAGGGUGGAGCCCUGCAGCCUCGGGAGGCCUGCCCAGGCUCCCGUGGAGCUUCCAACAGCUGCUUGGCCCCGCAGCUGCCCCCACUUCCUUUGAGACCUGCACUCUCAUGCUUGCCGCAUCAUGCCUCCCUGUGGGGGCUUUGGGCAUGGAGGAGGCAGAAGAGGGGGUGCCAGGCCUCCUGUAUUUGGGGUCUUCCCCCGGUGGAUGUCUCAUGGACUCUGGCCCCACACACUCACAAUGACUCUGGCUGGCCCCAUGCAGCGGGCCCAGGCGGCCUCACAUUCUGCUCUGCUAAGUUUGGAGAAAACAGAACAAUAAACCAGAUGCAGGUGGUGCCCGCCCGGCCUCUCACCUGCCUCCUUG
rnacentral:lncRNA from 1 species